rnacentral:rRNA from 1 species
GCUAAUACAUGCAUGACCAGCCCGACUCUAAGAGGGGCGCAUUUAUCAGAUCAAAGCCAACGCUUCCUUGUGGAGGCAAAAUCAUGGUGACUCUGGGUAGACUUUCUGAUUGCAUUGCCUCUGUGCAGGCGACGGUAACUGCAAGUGUCUGACCUAUCAACUUUUGUUGGUAGUUGAUGUUACUACCCCGGUUGUUACGGGUGACGGGGAAUCGGGGUUCGAUUCCGGAGAGAGAGCAUGAGAUACGGCUGUCACAUCCAAGGAAGGCAGCAGGCGCGCAAAUUACCCAAUCUCCGAUCGGGGAGGUAGUGACGAGAAAUAGCGAUGCCGCGAUAUUUUUAUCCGGCAGUUGAAAUGAGAACAAUGAAAGAUUUUUAUCGAGAAUCUAUUGGAGGGCAAGUUCUGGUGCCAGCCGCCGCGGUAAUUCCAGCUCGAAGAGCGUAUGUCAAAGUUGCUGCGGUUAAAACGCUCGUCGUUGGACAUGUGGAGAUGGUCCGUGGGCAGCCAAGUGUUGUUACUGCGGUCUCACUCCUAAUGCAGGCUUGUUGACUGUCGAUGCACUUUACUGUGUGUCGCUGUAGAGGGCCACUGUCACCUUGAAAGACUCAGUGUGCUCAACGCAGGCUGUCGCCUGAAUAAUGCUGCACGGGAUGACGAAAAACGGCCUUCGCUCCGUUUCGUUGGCUUUCGAAAGCUGAGGCCAUGAUUAAUCGGGACAGACGGGGGCAUUCGUAUUGCGGUGAUAGAAGUGAAAUUCUGUGACCAUCGCAAGACGGACGACUGCGAAAGCAUUUGCCAAGAAUGUUUUCGUUAAUCACGAACGAAAGUUAGAGGAUCGAAGACGAUUAGAUACC